ensembl:lncRNA
AUGGCCCUCGGUGCCGUCGCCGUAGCUGUGCCGCGGGCCGGACCCGAGGAUGGAGGCGGCAUCAGCCCGGCUCUGCCUGGGGAGCCGCUGGCAGCCUCCCUCCCCCGGGGGCCGGAGAGCUGCGCUGGGGCGCUUCGGUCUCCCUUCGGUUGGUUUUCCAAGGUCGCCCACCCCGUGCCCUUCUCCCAGAGCGGGGUCUAUCCGCCAGAGCCGGAGCCGGAGCCGGAGGUGCCCUGCGGAGGGGAGGGUGGUGGGUGGGAGCCGGGAGAGGGGGUCUGGUGUGGGGGCCACCCGAAGCGCCCGGCAGCGGGAUGCGCGACGCCCGCCGGAGCGGGAUGCGGGAGAGGAGCCCGCAUCUUCCUGGCCGGAAAGUACAAUAACGCCGCCGCACUCGGGCGUCUGAAACGCGGCAUCGCGGCCGGGGGGCUCCGCGACCUUCCCGCKGGGAUUUCCCAUGGAGCAGCCUCCCGCGGGGCCUGGAAGCGCCCGGGACCGCGGCAGGAGCCCAGCGAAGGCAGUGGCACCGCCGGGAGCUGCCCRGGGCUGGGAUCCCCCAUCGCGAGCGGCUCCCGUUUCCCGGCCGGAGCCGCGAUGGGCAAACGCUGCCGGGACGGGGCGGGGGGGAUGCCCAUGGCGUCCAGGCUCUCGGAUGCUGCAAAGCGCUUGGAGAACCCCCCAGCGCAGGGUGCUCGACUCCGGGGGCAGCGGGGCCGGAUGGAGACGCCCGGGGGCUCCGGGUCGGCGCAGGGACCUGGGAAACGCGGAGGCCCAAAAGCUUUCGUGGGACUCGGGGCCGAACAGCCCUCGGCGGGUUUUUUCCUUUUYCCCCCCCAAAUUUCCUCCCGAUCGCCGGCUUUUGGCGUCCCGGGGCUGGCAAAGCCGGGUGCCGCUGCAGGAGGGGAAACUGCGGUGGAGCCGGAGUCCCGCGCCGGGAGGCCACRGGGAUGGGCUCCCGCGCGCUGGCUGGCAGUGCCGGUGCCCGGCCGCGUCCCCCCCCCCGGAUCCGGCCACGACACCAGGCGGCUGCUGCAGGGACCUUUAUUGGGGGUCGAGGGGCCGCGGGUACAGGGGAGCCCCCAGCCCCCCGGCCCAGCCCCGGGGGCGCACGGAGGGGUCCAGCCCACUCCGGCCCCGGGGCUGGGGGGCGCCGGGGGGGGCCACGGGGAGCCAGCGGGAAGCAGCGGGGUCCGGGGUGGCGUCUCCGGUGGGGCUCGGCCGUCUCAUAUCCCUGCGGGAGCGGCGACAUCAGCGCGGGGGUCCGGCCUGGAUCCCCCCCCCCCACAGCCGGACCCCCGCGGUCACCUUGGGACGCCAGGGCCUCCUCCGAGUCCAGGUCGCGCUCGGCACCUGGGGGCAAGCGGAGACGCCGUGGGGGGGGCACGGGCACGGCCCACCCGCGGUGCCCCCCCAGCUAACGGGGCUACUGGGGCCCCCCCAGCUAACGGGGCUAAUGGGCCCCUGGCUAAUUGGGCAUCCUCAGCCAAUGGGCCCCCCCCAACUAACAGGGGACCUGCAGCAAAUGCCCCCCCCAGCUACAGGGGCCCCCCCAGGAAAUGGGACCCCUCAAGCUAA